rnacentral:rRNA from 1 species
AACGAACGCUGGCGGCGUGGAUAAGACAUGCAAGUCGAACGGGAUCAUUGAGGUAGCAAUAUCGCGAUGGUUUAGUGGCGAACGGGUGCGUAACACGUGGAUACCUUCCGGAAAGCGGGGGAUAGCCCAGGGAAACUUGGAUUAAUUCCGCAUGUGGUCGAGAGACUAAAGACGGGGGCCGCAAGGCCCGUCCCUUUUCGAUUGGUUCGCGGCCUAUCAGCUAGUUGGCGGGGUAAAAGCCCCCCAAGGCUUCGACGGGUAGCUGGUUUUAGAGGGCGGCCAGCCCCCCUGGAACUGAGACCCGGUCCAGACCCCUACGGGUGGCAGCCGUCGAGAAUUUUUCCCAAUGGGGGCCACCCUGAUGGAGCGACGCCGCGUGGAGGAUAAGGUUUUCGGAUUGUAAACUCCUGUCAUGUGAGAACAAGGUUGCAAUGCUAAUAGUAUUGCAAAUUGAUGGUAAAAGGAGAGGAAGAGACGGCUAACUUUGUG